rnacentral:rRNA from 1 species
AGAGAGUUCGGUGUGCCCGAAAGGGAGCCUGGACACAGGUGCUGCAUGGCUGACGUCAGCUCGUGUCGUGAGAUGUUGGGUUAAGUCCCGCAACGAGCGCAACCCUUGUCACUAGUUGCUACGCAAGGGCACUCUAGUGAGACUGCCGGUGACAAACCGGAGGAAGGUGGGGAUGACGUCAAGUCCUCAUGGCCCUUAUGGGUAGGGCUUCACACGUCAUACAAUGGCGCAUACAAAGGGCUGCCAACCCGCGAGGGGGAGCCAAUCCCAGAAAGUGCGUCGUAGUCCGGAUUGCAGUCUGCAACUCGACUGCAUGAAGUCGGAAUCGCUAGUAAUCGCGGAUCAGCAAUGCCGCGGUGAAUACGUUCCCGGGUCUUGUACACACCGCCCGUCACACCAUGGGAGUGGGUUUCACCAGAAGCCGGUUGCCUAACCGCGAGGGAGGCGCCGACCACGGUGAGAUUCAUGACUGGGGUGAAGUCGUAACAAGGUAACCGU